UACGUAGGGUGCGAGCGUUGUCCGGAAUUACUGGGCGUAAAGAGCUCGUAGGCGGCUCGUCGCGUCGACCGUGAAAACCCGCGGCUUAACUGCGGGCUUGCGGUCGAUACGGGCAGGCUAGAGUUCGGUAGGGGAGACUGGAAUUCCUGGUGUAGCGGUGAAAUGCGCAGAUAUCAGGAGGAACACCGGUGGCGAAGGCGGGUCUCUGGGCCGAUACUGACGCUGAGAAGCGAAAGCGUGGGGAGCGAACAGG
rnacentral:rRNA from 1 species